rnacentral:rRNA from 1 species
GACGAACGCUGGCGGCGUGCUUAACACAUGCAAGUCGAACGGAAAGGCCCUGCUUUUGUGGGGUGCUCGAGUGGCGAACGGGUGGGUAACACGUGAGUAACCUGCCCUUGACUUUGGGAUAACUUCAGGAAACUGGGGCUAAUACCGGAUAGGAGCUCCUGCUGCAUGGUGGGGGUUGGAAAGUUUCGGCGGUUGGGGAUGGACUCGCGGCUUAUCAGCUUGUUGGUGGGGUAGUGGCUUACCAAGGCUUUGACGGGUAGCCGGCCUGAGAGGGUGACCGGCCACAUUGGGACUGAGAUACGGCCCAGACUCCUACGGGAGGCAGCAGUGGGGAAUAUUGCACAAUGGGCGGAAGCCUGAUGCAGCAACGCCACGUGCGGGAUGACGGCCUUCGGGUUGUAAACCGCUUUCGCCUGUGACGAAGCGUGAGUGACGGUAAUGGGUAAAGAAGCACCGGCUAACUACGUG